AUUGAACGCUGGCGGCAGGCCUAACACAUGCAAGUCGAGCGGAUGAAGGGAGCUUGCUCCUGGAUUCAGCGGCGGACGGGUGAGUAAUGCCUAGGAAUCUGCCUGGUAGUGGGGGAUAACGUCCGGAAACGGGCGCUAAUACCGCAUACGUCCUGAGGGAGAAAGUGGGGGAUCUUCGGACCUCACGCUAUCAGAUGAGCCUAGGUCGGAUUAGCUAGUUGGUGGGGUAAAGGCCUACCAAGGCGACGAUCCGUAACUGGUCUGAGAGGAUGAUCAGUCACACUGGAACUUAGACACGGUCCUGACUCCUACGGGAGGCAGCAGAGGGGAAUAUUGGACAAUGGGCGAAAGCCUGAUCCAGCCAUGCCGCGUGUGUGAAGAAGGUCUUCGGAUUGUAAAGCACUUUAAGUUGGGAGGAAGGGCAGUAAGUUAAUACCUUGCUGUUUUGACGUUACCAACAGAAUAAGCACCGGCUAACUUCGUG
rnacentral:rRNA from 1 species